AACGUAGGUACCGAGCGUUAUCCGGAUUUACUGGGCGUAAAGCGCGUUCAGGCGGUUUGGCAAGUCGGGCAUGAAAUCUCUCGGCUCAACCGGGAGAGGUUGUCCGAUACUGCUGGACUUGAGGGCAGUAGAGGGUGGUGGAAUUCCGGGUGUAGUGGUGAAAUGCGUAGAUAUCCGGAGGAACACCAGUGGCGAAGGCGGGUCUCUGGGCCAUUACUGACGCUGAGGAGCGAAAGCGUGGGGAGCGAACAGG
rnacentral:rRNA from 1 species